rnacentral:rRNA from 1 species
GACGAACGCUGGCGGCGUGCUUAACACAUGCAAGUCGAACGGUGAGGAGGAGCUUGCUCCUCCGAUCAGUGGCGAACGGGUGAGUAACACGUGAGUAACCUGCCCCAGACCCUGGGAUAACAGUUGGAAACAGCUGCUAAUACCGGAUACGAGACGGAGAGGCAUCUCUACCGUCUGGAAAGAUUUAUCGGUCUGGGAUGGACUCGCGGCCUAUCAGCUUGUUGGUGAGGUAAAGGCUCACCAAGGCGACGACGGGUAGCCGGCCUGAGAGGGCGACCGGCCACACUGGGACUGAGACACGGCCCAGGACUCCUACGGGAGGCAGCAGUGGGGAAUAUUGCACAAUGGGCGAAAGCCUGAUGCAGCGACGCCGCGUGAGGGAUGACGGCC